CCUACGGGGUGCUGCAGUGAGGAAUAUUGGUCAAUGGACGCAAGUCUGAACCAGCCAUGCCGCGUGCAGGAAGACGGCUCUAUGAGUUGUAAACUGCUUUUGUACGAGGGUAAACGCAGAUACGCGUAUCUGUCUGAAAGUAUCGUACGAGUAAGGAUCGGCUAACUCCGUGCCAGCAGCCGCGGUAAUACGGAGGAUUCAAGCGUUAUCCGGAUUUAUUGGGUUUAAAGGGUGCGUAGGCGGUCGGAUAAGUUAGAGGUGAAAUCCCGAGGCUCAACUUCGGAACUGCCUCUGAUACUGGUAGGCUAGAGAGUAGUGGCGGUAGGCAGAAUGUAUGGUGUAGCGGUGAAAUGCUUAGAGAUCAUACAGAACACCGAUUGCGAAGGCAGCUUACCAAGCUACGUCUGACGUUGAGGCACGAAAGCGUGGGGAGCAAACAGGAUUAGAUACCCUUGUAGUC
rnacentral:rRNA from 1 species